rnacentral:rRNA from 1 species
UGGGGAAUAUUGCACAAUGGGCGAAAGCCUGAUGCAGCAACGCCGCGUGAGUGAUGAAGGUCUUCGGAUUGUAAAGCUCUGUCUUUUGGGACGAUAAUGACGGUACCAAAGGAGGAAGCCACGGCUAACUACGUGCCAGCAGCCGCGGUAAUACGUAGGUGGCGAGCGUUGUCCGGAUUUACUGGGCGUAAAGGGUGCGUAGGCGGAUGUUUGAGUGAGAUGUGAAAUACCCGGGCUUAACUUGGGUGCUGCAUUUCAAACUGGAUAUCUAGAGUGCAGGAGAGGAGAAUGGAAUUCCUAGUGUAGCGGUGAAAUGCGUAGAGAUUAGGAAGAACACCAGUGGCGAAGGCGAUUCUCUGGACUGUAACUGACGCUGAGGCACGAAAGCGUGGGUAGCAAACAGGAUUAGAUACCCUGGUAGUCCACGCCGUAAACGAUGAGUACUAGGUGUAGGAGGUAUCGACCCCUUC